AAACGGUGAAGCCAUACAUAUUAGGAUCGAGUUUUCUUAUUGUUUUAGUCACGAAUAAAGUGUGUCCGGCCUUCUGUCCGAAUAACUUGGAUCCAGUGUGUGGAUCAAACGGCAAGACUUACCCCAACUUAUGCAGCUUGCGGUUUGCUGAUUGUGAAUUUGAAAACGACGAAGAAAUAACAUUAAAAUAUGACGGAUCAUGCAAGAGAAAAGGUAAACAUUUAUAUUUGAAUUUAAAACAUAACCGGAAAUUUGGGACAAGAUGGCUGUGCGUGUGCAUGUGGAUAAUAAUGAAAACUAAACUUGAUGAUAUUUUCCAACCUUUAUGAUAAUAUAUGUUUUAAAAUAUCAAAACAAAGUGUCAACAAUUUUGUCCUGCGAUAUAUAUACGCUCCAGUAUGUGGUCAGAUGGACAGACGUAUGAUAGCAUGUGUUUGUUGGAAGUGGCUGAUUUAGAUAAUUUUUUUCUUAUUAAAAAAACAUUGAAUCACUAGUGAUAGCUCUAUAUAUCCAGUCCGGCAGUCGUUGCCCCGAUUUUCCGUGUUCAUCAAAGAUUUUAUUUUUAUAUAAUAUAAAAAUUUACUGAACUAGAGGUUAUCGGUUUGGAAAAAAAAUGGGACUGAUUCAUAUAUUUCCCAAAAUAAAUUGUUGUUAUCUCCGUUUAGUCCAUGCAUGCCUAAACGAACAAACACGGUACCAAAAGCGCAGGGAUUUGCUAAAGGCUUAACUGAAAUCAUUGUUGAAAGAUUAAAUUUUGCACAUUUAUGCCUAUUAGACCUAGUUCGGGAAAAUUUAACAAUAUAGUCCCUCUGACAUUGCUGCGGCUAUUGAUGUCUUCGGCUGCAAGGUACCCCGGGUAAAAUGCCCUCCCGGCUUCAGAAUAAACUUUAUAUAAAAACUAAAGCGAAUACAAUUUUUAAUUUCUUAUGUACACCUGAGUUUUUGACGUUUCCUCUUUAAAAUAUUUGAGCAUGUAGCCUAUCGAGAAGAUUUGACGUAUGUUACCUUUAAUGAUCCAAAGAUCAUUAAAGGUAACAUACGUCAAAUCUUCUCGAUACGAAAUUACCAGUGGAAAUUACAAACAACAGCUCGCGAACGCCACAUUGUUUCAGAAAAAUUUCAGAGCGUGGUGUCCACGCGUCACGCGUGAGCGUGGGAUACUAUAAUAUCCGACGGUGGAUCUGCCGUGGGAUAUUAUAAUAUCUCACGCUGCAUUGCGAAAUCAUGAAUUUGAGUGAAAUACUGCAAAAAAUCACAUUAUCACGUGGUACAAAUGCUGUUUUUUCAUUGGACAAUUUGAAUUUGAGAUAUAAUAUUCCCCGAUAAUCACCGAGCCUGAGGCGAAUAAUUGUUUUAGCUAGUAUUUUUACACAAGCUUUUGUGUUUUUUGAGACUGAAUUUAUUUUAAUUUCGCUUAUUUCUUUGUCAGUGAACUUUCAUAAAACGGGUAGCCGCCAUUUUGAAAAUUUCUGUUUUAUUAUAUUCACCUGUAGGUGAAUAUAACAGCUUAUUACGUCAAAUUUGACCAAUCAACGUGAAGGAUUUGUUAUGUUCACUUGUGCAAAAAUACUAAAGCUCAAUGUCAUCAUGGAAACGUCGGAAAAUUUCUUUCUUUAUAUUUCUUUGAGCUAUAUUAUAAAACAAAUAUAAAACAUUUUUUCCGUAUUGAUAUAUAGUUAUUCAACACUCGUGGAAAUUGGGAAAACUGGAAAACUGUUUCCACACAAUUUUUCGUUUUCUCAAUUUCCACUCGUGUGGAUAUAACUGUAUAUCAACACAGAAAAUGUUUUAUAUUUGUAAAUUGUAAAUCAGGUACAGACCUGCCACUCAAGCUACACUUAACAAUAUUGGAUUGAAAUAAUUUUAAACAUUGCAGAUUGACUUCUGUCAAUCUAUAUAUGCGAUGCAGUAAACUAUAUUUAUGUGAAUCAGAUGGGAAAACGUAUAUGCCGAUAUUUUUAUGGCAUUAUGUGCAUUUAUGUCAUGAUUGUCUCUAAACUAUUGUAUAUAUUUUUGUUAGAAGCCAGAUAAGAUGGUGAAGAAGAGAAGUACUAAUGCUGAAAACGACAAGUUGAAUAUUCUCAUUAGUACCUUGUAAUAUUGAAUAAUAGUUGUUGUGAGUAUAGAUCGUCGUGAUCGUAUUAAAAAUAUAAAUGUUCAGAUUUGACUAAGCACUGCUGCUGCUAAUUAGAUCGUUUGAUAUACCCAUUGAAAUAAUAGAUAUAGAUUCUCAGUAAAAAUUUGUCUCCACAAAAUGGCGGCCAUUUAUAAGGGCAUUUUUGUUGGUCCCAGACUCCUGCGGCAAGGAAUUUCGCGCGGUUGCAGGUAGUGCGAAUUGUUUUUUCAACUGCAAAGUUUGCAAAACAUUUUAUGUCGAAACUUAAAAUAGAAAAAAAGUUUUGUAUAGGAG